rnacentral:lncRNA from 1 species
AGCACUGGAUAUGCAUAUGUGAAACAGGGUGAGACAGAGAGAUAGGUUGAGUGACAGACAGGAAGAGUGACUCAGAGAGAGAGAGAGAGAGAGAAAGAGAGAAAGAGAGAGUGCGCAAGGCUGGGGACACUGAUCAAUGAAUCUAUGUGCUUGCUACCUCAGCAAGUGAAGGUGAGAGCAAAUCAAAACAAAUGAAAAGCAGAUGCCUCUGGAGAGAAGCAAACAGCCUCCAAUCAGCCUCUGAGGGAGGAUGAUUACUGUCUGCGGAGAGCUAGAGGAGUCACUGUCAAGGCAGGUGCUGUUUGAACACAAGCUCAUGUGCGGAUUUGAGUCAUCUUAGAGUCUCUCACUGCACCCACUCACUGGACAACAAGACCUUUUGUGGAUACUGAAACCUAUAGAAAAAUACCUGCAACAUGGCAGGAAGAUUUGGGGGGGAGGGGGGGUUUGAGUCUCAGGAUGUAACUGCAGACUAACUUCAGGCUGUUGUCAUGUGUGGUGCCCCAGCCUGGUGCCACCCAGAGGGGUCAGCUUGACAUCAACAACAGAACAUCAAGAAAGAGAGAUGCUAGGGGGAAUGAACAACAAGAUGAUCUGAAAUGUUUGCACAUUCAAGGCUGGGGGCUGAGGGAAUGUGUGUGUGUUCACUGGAAAUGUGUAACAGUGCUCCAUAGUGGUCAAAUGCAUUAAUUUCCACUCAAGUCUGC